UUGUACCACAGUGGACAUUUAAUAACUAGAGGUCAACAUAUUACCAAUAUUUAUGAUGCACCUACCACAUAAUAACUUCACAUUCACUCCACAUAAUGAUAGUCUUCAAUUGUAGGCUUGUAGAAGACUUCAUAUUACCAAUAUUUAUGAUGCACCUGAUUCAUGCCCAAUUGGUGUCUCAGCUGAUUUGUGUCCAGCUGCUGCUCCUUGGAUGAGGGAGUAAUCAACAAAAUUUAUAACCUAUUACACCAUAUACUAGGGUAGCAAAGAAAAAGCUACUAUAGUAUAGCGGCUCUAGGAUCGUUCACUGGGAAGGGUUUCCAAAUUACAAAUGAUAUCAAUUCAAAGUGAAUUGGUAGUGUUUCAUUUCAAGGUUAGCUUAAGAAAUAAAACUCAAACCUUGAUUGGUAAAGAUUUAGAUUCAAACUAACUAACAAAACAAGUAAUGGGAAUAACUUAGGAAGAAAAACAUUCCUUGGAGGGUCAGGUUCACUGGGGUGGUUCCUCAUGCAAAAGACAUAGCUCUGGUCAGAUGGUUCAUUUCCUUGCAUUAGAGAAUUAACAUAUAGUCAAUUCUCUAAUCGGUGUUGUACAGAUACAUCCUUUAAUUAGAUUUCAGCUUUAAUUCCCUCUCACUGAUGCAAUUUGCAAUGGUUCAUGCCUCUCACGAGCACUUACCAUUCAAGAUGAUCUUUAACCUUGGACUUCCCUUCAAAAGCUCACAAGAGAUAACUAAUGGAUGUCUCCUUGGAGUCCAAAAGCUUACCAAGUGUUGGCAAUUCUAGAAAAUCCUACCUUUAAGUCACCUCCCAGAGGCUCGCAAGGGGUAAACUAGUGCAUCUUCAUGGUUGGAGAUCACUUGCCUUACCAAGUGUUGGCCCAUGUGACUCUAAGGUGUUUUAAGUUAACUAAAAACAUAGAAAUCACUAAAGGAUUUCACUUCUUCUUCAUUCAUGGCUGAAACCACAGAGCUUUGCAUUCUUGCACUUGGAACCUUCCCCAGCAACCUUAGCUCCAAGGAACUAAAGGUUUAGUUACUCAUUCUCUGGGGAAAAUUCCUCAGAGAGUGCAUAACUUAGUAAGAAAUAAAAAAAAAAAAAACAAAGUGAAAAGGUAAGGCAAAACAAAGGACCUGAACUUUACUUCCUUUUUCAAAACUUUACAACAGGUCUCCUCCUUUUUCGAGAACAGGCUCUCAAGAGGUAUUUAUAUAAACAUAAUACAAAACUAAUUAUUACAUGGAUAUUUACUAUUUUUACUAACUUAAAAGCUAAGGAAUCUUGUAAUUGGUGGCUUACAAGGAGAAUUUUGGGAUUUAGACAACAAAAAUCUGAUGGAAAAUAUCUCCCAAUGUCGGUAGCAAAUAUCGGGACGCACUAAGGACCAUUUCGCAAGAGAAAAUGAUGUCUGCGAGAUUUCGCAGACAUAUAAAAAGGGCUGCGAAAUCACUUCGCAGCAAAAGGUUAUUCUCGUAGGGCUACGAAGUUGGCUUUCAUCUUGAGGUUCUCAGCUUCCAACUUGUCACAUAUAUCGGGCAACUUCAGGAGGAAAUCCACCACACUGUACAAAAAGGCUGCGAAAUCACUUCGCAACAAAAGGGUGAUUUCGCAACACUUUUGCAAAAUGCUUUCUUCAGCUUAGAGUGAUUGACUUGCAGUGGCUGUAACUUCUUCGUUUCAACUCCAAAUUGUGCACCGUUUGAAGCAUUGGAUUGUUGACUUCCUGAGCUUUGAAAUGACAUAUAGCAUGCAUCAAUUGGACUUUAGAAAGUACUCCAAAAGUGGCUGACACAACUGUCAUCAAGAAUAUGCUUCAUGGCAGAUUCUCUUUACUUCUUCUCCUUGCAUUCCGGAUUUACUUACAGCAAAGGACUUCAAAGCUUGGGUUCUUCAUGUUUCUGAGCUUCCAAUUGCUUUGCCCAAGAUUUCAUAUAACUCUCCUCAAUCUCGGAUUGCUUUGGUGAUCAAAAGGCUAUCAAAACACCAAAACUUAACACAAUUUGAUUAGAAUUGAUUGCAAGGGUCCUUAACAUGCCAAUUGGGUUAAAAGGCAAUAACUACUACUCAAAAGUGUUUAAAAGAGUUUAUUACAAGCUAUCAAAGAGCACUUUUUGAGUAUUAAUCAGCACCUACCACAUAAUAACUUCACAUUCACUCCACAUAAUGAUAGUCUCCAAUUGUAGGCUUGUAGAAGACUUCAUUCACGUUGUUUCAUCCCAUCCAAUUUUAGUGACUUGUAACUAUG
rnacentral:lncRNA from 1 species